CGCGUAGGUGGUAGUGUAAGUCUGGGGUGGAAUCCCAGGGCUUAACCCUGGAACUGCCUUGGAAACUGUAUUACUUGAGUCAGUGAGGGGAGGGUAGAAUUCCUGGUGUAGCGGUGAAAUGCGUAGAUAUCAGGAGGAAGGCCUGUGGCGAAGGCGGCCCUCUGGCGCUGGACUGACGCUGAGGCGCGAAAGCGUGGGGAGCAAACAGGAUUAGAUACCCUGGUAGUCCACGCCCUAAACGGCGGGCACUAGGUGUAGGGCUCGUAAGGGUUCUGUGCCGAAGGGAAACCAUUAAGUGCCCCGCCUGGGGAGUACGGCCGCAAGGUUGAA
rnacentral:rRNA from 1 species